rnacentral:rRNA from 1 species
GAUCUUCGGAUUAAGGCCCGGCGCACCGCUCAGUAACACGUGGAUAACCUGCCCUUAGGACCGGGAUAACCCCGAGAAAUUGGGACUAAUACCGGAUAGAUCAUUAUUGCUGGAAUGCAUAAUGGUUCAAAGUUCCGGCGCCUAAGGAUGGAUCUGCGGCCGAUUAGGUAGUUGCCGGGGUAAUGUCCCGACAAGCCGAUGAUCGGUACGGGUUGUGAGAGCAAGAGCCCGGAGAUGGAUUCUGAGACAUGAAUCCAGGGCCUACGGGGCGCAGCAGGCGCGAAAACUUUACACUGCACGAAAGUGCGAUAAGGGAACUUCGAGUGUCAAUGCACUGCAUUGACUGUCCAGAUGCCUAAAAAGCAUCUGCUAGCAAGAGCCGGGCAAGACCGGUGCCAGCCGCCGCGGUAACACCGGCGGCUCAAGUGGUGGCCGCUUUUAUUGGGUCUAAAGGGUCCGUAGCCGGCUUAGCAAGUCCUUUGGGAAAUCUAGCAGCUCAACUGUCGGGCUUCUGAAGGAAACUGCUAGGCUUGGGACCGGGAGAGGUUAGAGGUACUUCAGGGGUAGGAGUGAAAUCCUGUAAUCCC